rnacentral:rRNA from 1 species
CUCCCAGACUCCUACGGGAGGCAGCAGUGGGGAAUAUUGCACAAUGGGGGAAACCCUGAUGCAGCGACGCCGCGUGAGUGAAGAAGUAUUUCGGUAUGUAAAGCUCUAUCAGCAGGGAAGAAAAUGACGGUACCUGAUUAAGAAGCCCCGGCUAACUACGUGCCAGCAGCCGCGGUAAUACGUAGGGGGCAAGCGUUAUCCGGAUUUACUGGGUGUAAAGGGAGCGUAGACGGCAGCGCAAGUCUGAAGUGAAAGGCCGGGGCUUAACCCCGGAACUGCUUUGGAAACUGUGCAGCUAGAGUGCAGGAGAGGGAAGUGGAAUUCCUAGUGUAGCGGUGAAAUGCGUAGAUAUUAGGAGGAACACCAGUGGCGAAGGCGGCGUACUGGACUGUAACUGACGUUGAGGCUCGAAAGCGUGGGGAGCAAACAGGAUUAGAUACCCGGGUAAAC